UUUUCCUUUCCCGAAUUAUCAGAACAUCUUUUGGUAUUUUGGGGAUAACUUGGGCUACAAAUAUUAAAAUCAUGUGAUUCUUGCGGCGUUAAAAAGCUAAUUCGAAGGGCUAAAAUCUUUAUGUUUAUCACUUCGCCCAAAUCAACUGGAAUAGAGGAGAAACUCACGACAUAGUUUGAUGGUUUGGUAGAAUCAAGAUCCAGAAAAACGAGAGAUUGGUGAAGGAAUUCGUGGAACAGCCAUCUUCAUGGUAGUCUCAAGCAUUGACAUGGCGGAUUCUAAGUCUAUAUAUAUGGAUAUGGUUAAUGUGAGAGAAAGUGAUGAUGCUUCUAGGGAUUUUGACAACUAUGAGAGUGAAUUUAUUACCACUAAGAAAUCUAAAUUGGAUCAUUAUUUGGAAGAAACAAGGUUUGAUCACAUUAAAAAUCAAAAUUUGUGUAGGAAUCAUGUCAUGGCAAGCACGAAAUUACAAUAAAAAUUAUUGCCAUGGCAUGAUUCCAUUAUCCAAGAACACGAUUUCGACUGAAUAAUCAACAUAAAAUAACCAUACAAGGUUAUGUGAUUUACCUCCGUUGGCAUCUCCUUCUUUGGAUUUCUCCAACUAGUUGCUAUCAAUCCAAUGUAGGAUUGAGUCCAUCGGUAUCCACACGAAGGUAGGCUCGAGAUCACCCUAGGAUUGAUUGUUAGACCAAUCAAAAGGCUUAAGUGAUGGUGGCAGAAAAUUGAGAGAAAACUCUCAAGGGUGGCUAGGGUUUUUGGCGAGAGAGAGAGAGAGAGAGAGAGAGAGAGAGAGAGAGAGAAUAGUUUGAUUUUAUUCAAUUAUAUUUCCCAAAAGAAUUCUCUUGUGUUUAAACUAAAAACCCUCCUCUUUUUAUCGUGUAAAUCCAAAUAGGAAUUCAAUAAGGAUUACAAUCCUUGAAUCCCUAUUUUGG